CACAUAGGUUUGGUCCUGACCUUGAAAUCAACUCUCACUUGACUUACACAUGCAAGUAUCUGCAUACCCGUGAAAACGCCCCCCCCUCCACUCGAGGGUGGGGAGCUGAUAUCAGGCACUACACCUGCCCAAGACAUCUAGCCCCGCCACUCCCACAAGGGUCCUCAGCAGUGAUUAACAUUAAAAAUGAACGCCAGUUCGAAUUAGCCAAUGUAAAUAGAGCCGGCCAAUCUGGUGCCAGCCGCCGCGGUUACACCACGUGGCUCAAAUUGAUUUCAACACGGCGUAAAGAGUGAUUAAAGAAACAAACUACUGGGGUAAAACUUAAACUAAGCUGUAGCAUGCUUGUUUGUAUGAGAACCUGAUUCGUAAGAUACCCCACCCCCCCACCAACUUGAACUCACGAUAACUAAGACACAAACUGGGAUUAGAUACCCCACUAUGCUUAGUCAUAAACUUUAAAUUACACCCCCCCCAUCGCCAGGGAACUACGAGCAAAGCUUAAAACCCAAAGGACUUGACGGUACUCCACAUCCCCCUAGAGGAGCCUGUCCUAUAACCGAUACCCCCCGUUUAACCUCACCACUUUUAGUUUUUCAGCCUGUAUACUUCCGUCGCCAGCUUACCGCGUGAGCGAGUUAAGUAAGCUUAAUGUCCCCCCACAAAACGUCAGGUCAAAGUGCAGUAAAUAAAGUGGCAAGAGAUGGGCUACACUUUCUAACAUAGAAAACACGAAAGACUACAUGAAAUUGUACUCAGAAGGUGGAUUUAGUAGUAAGGGGGUAGUAGAGUGCUCCCCUUAACCCGGCACUGGAGUGUGUACACACCGCCCGUCACCCUCUUCGUCAAAACUCAUUCAGUAAUUAACAAUAGCUACCAAAAAGAAGAGGUAAGUC
rnacentral:ncRNA from 1 species